rnacentral:pre_miRNA from 1 species
GUUGAGGGGACUGUUGUCUGGCUCGAGGUCAUCUAGAUAUGCAUGUUGCUAUUCGAUGUCUAUGUGAUCUCGGACCAGGCUUCAUUCCUCUAAAC